CCUACGGGCGGCAGCAGUGAGGAAUAUUGGUCAAUGGACGAGAGUCUGAACCAGCCAAGCAGCGUGAAGGAUGACUGCCCUAUGGGUUGUAAACUUCUUUUAUAUGGGAAUAAAAUGUUUCACGUGUGGGAUUUUGUAUGUACCAUAUGAAUAAGGAUCGGCUAACUCCGUGCCAGCAGCCGCGGUAAUACGGAGGAUCCGAGCGUUACCCGGAUUUAGUGGGUUUAAAGGGAGCGUAGGUGGAUUGUUAAGUCAGUUGUGAAAGUUUGCGGCUCAACCGUAAAAUUGCAGUUGAAACUGGCAGUCUUGAGUACGGUAGAGGUGAGCGGAAUUCGUGGUGUAGGGGUGAAAUGCUUAGAUAUCACGAAGAACUCCGAUGGCGAAGGCAGCUCACUGGACUACAACUGACACUGAGGAUCGAAAGUGUGGGUAGCAAACAGGAUUAGAUACCCUUGUAGUC
rnacentral:rRNA from 1 species